UGCAAAAGCUUUGUCUAUAAAAUUCAUAUACGUUGUCUGUGGUCUUUUUAUAUAGGUUCGAGAAAAAGUACCUAUCAUUUGGUGCCGAAAUCCGGGAUCUCUCCCCGCCCGCUGUCAGGCAGAGGAAGACGCGCUGAAUCCGUGCACGGCCAGAGUCAACUGGACCUGGAAAGAAAGACCCAGGAAGCAAAAUUCUUUGCUGGGCCAGCGACACAUGUCCGACUUUGUCUGCCAACGGCGGAGUGACGAGAUCCGACUGGACAACCCGAAAACUACAGAAACGUAGGUGAAUUUUAAAAUGACUAUUUUAGAGGUUUGAGUCCUUGUCAAAUAUCAGUUUGACUAAAGUAAGGUUUGAGUCCUUGUCAGAUACCAGCUUGACUAAAGAAAGGUUUGAGUCCUUGUCAAAUACCAGCUUGACUAAAGAAAGGUUUGAGUCCUUGUCAGAUACCAGCUUGACUAAAGAAGUUAUAAGGGUCCCAGUUGACAGAGUUUCAACUAAAGGCAAAAGGAAAGGCUCUUAGAGAGCCUCCUUACUUAGAGGACACCUCUUAAGGGUAAGUCCUCAUGAGAUAGGAAGCUUAUUAUUACUGUUCUGUUAUUAUUGUGCUGAUAUUGCUGUUUGUUUGCUGCUUUGAUGUGUGUGUGUGAAAGAGUGAUUGGAGGUUUAAAUACUGCUCAGUAUUUUACCUCAUAUAAAAACAGUGGGGUUAAACAGCAAACCUCUUGUGGAUGCAAAGGCGAGAUUCUCCCACUCGAUAAGAGUUGAAGCGGAGAAUACCACAACAAGGUAUUUUUAAUUGCUGGCCUACUGAAAAGAUCACCAGUUCAUAGUACUCCCUAGGAGUCAACGAAUCUGGACUAAAUUUAAAUAAAUAAAAGCUCAAAUUGCAAGUAAGUUGAAUAAUGGGAAAUGCAAAUUCUUGUAAAUCCUCACUUGCUGAGGGUCCCGAUGGGGAUGAAAAAUACAUGCUGUCCAGAUUUCCUGGUAGCAUUGUACACAUAAAAAAAAUGGAAAAAGAAAUAUAAAAUAGAUGGGAAGCUAAAAAUUGAUCGAUGGCAAACAAUUGUGGGAAUUUUGGAGAGUAGUGUAGCAAGAAAAAAGGGGAUAAAAAAGGCUAAAAAGGAGGAUGAGCUGAGAUGUGCUAAAUUAUGGUUAAAAGCAGCCAUAGACCGGAAAGAACAAACUAAAAAGGCUAAAGACAAAAAAUUCGUAGAAGCAAAAAACCUAUUUGUUAGACCGAAAGAUAAUAAAGUCAUUCUAAGCACACGGAAUGAUGUAGUGGUGCGGGGAGCACAAGCUCCUGCAGCCAACCCUCCCCCCGCCGCUGCAGCAGCUCCGUCUGCCCCAGUCCCAGCAGCACGACUGUACCCCUCAUUAGAGGAAGGUGCACAAAACUUAUAUGUUUUUGCACCCUGGACCUUAGAAGAGGCCAUUAAGGCUGUGAAAGGAUUAGAUGUUUUUCACCUGGAUGAAUUUGGAGGUUUAGAAAGCUCUGCCUUUUCCAACAGCCGGAUGAAAGGACGCGGAAGAAGCAGAGGCAGAGGAGGUCACAAUAGGCGACGACCCCAAAAUAACACCCCACAAAAUCCACAGCAUUUAAAUGGCUGUUGGACUUGUGGCAAUACUGGCCACUGGUCAAGAAACUGCCCUUCAAAGAAUGCUGCACGGGGCAACAGGAGGGAUGGUGGAGUGAGGGGACCACAAACAGGAGAAAUACACAGCAUGAUCAGACUCUACCACACCCCAAAAAGACAAAUCACCAGACUAAAUUGAUGAAAUGGUGGACAUAAGUUCAGCUUGUUAUACGUUAAGUAAAAGAUAAAUAAAUAAAAGAAAUUGAAUUCCUGUACAAAACCAAUGCAUGCAAAAUAAUAUUUAAUGUUACUAAAAAUUAGGUUUAAGCCUCACAAGUCAGAAAUAAUUACUUUUAGGGAACACUGGUUGUUUGUUUGUUUGUUUGUUUGUUAUCAUUCCUACACUUUCAAAGAAAAACCAGUUGAGAGACGUCUCACUGAAAUAAAAAACAUGGGAACAACUUCUUUGUAUGCUAAAAGUGGAAUUAUGACUUUCCUGAAGGAGGAGAAGCUGAAAAAUAAAAUUAAAUAAUAAAAUUCUCCCCAGAGAACAAUGUUUAAUAUAUUGUGUCGUAAUCAGAUUAUAACACCAACUUGGUGAAAUGAUCCUUUGGCUGUAUAACUGGAGGGGUCAGAGGUCAGAGUAAGGUACCGACCUGGACAUUAUCCAGCCUCAUGUCUCUCUUAGGCCUUGAGAGGAGGGCUGCCCGCUGACCUCACAGUCUGCAGCACUAAGAUCGACAAAUUUAGAGAAAUCCAUUGUUCUCUGGUGAGACGUGACUCAGAUGAAGUUAACAUAAACUUACAUUUUACAUUUUAAAGGUUAAUAUUGUACAGGUUAAAAGAGACUACAGCUUUUAACAUGUUUCAUGUUUAUAUGUGUUUGAAUAAGGAAAGGAUUUAUGAUUUCUUAAAAUGUUGGGUAAUAAGUGGCUAAACACUAUACGAUCACAAGAGAAAAGUUAUAUGGAAAAUGUUUGUAAAAAGAAAAAAGACACAGAAAGCCGAACAAACCCUAAUGGACUCUUAUUUGCUUCUUUCCUUUUCCUCUGUCUGAGCCUCGCUGCGGUGAGUCUGACCUCCGACCUCAACUCAAACCUGUCCUGCCAGAUCAGAAGACGUCCCUCCUUCAUCACCAGCCAAUGACAGUUGAUAAAGAAGCGAAAAAGGACAUGAUGAUUUCUGCCACCUGGACACUAAAGGCACUAAAAUGUCCGCUGAUCCUGAUUCCUGGACAUCUGGGAACUGCCAUGCAGCAAACUACUGUAUGGAGUCCUGCUGGACGUUUGGA